rnacentral:rRNA from 1 species
UACGUAGGUGGCGAGCGUUGUCCGGAUUUACUGGGCGUAAAGGGAGCGUAGGCGGACUUUUAAGUGAGAUGUGAAAUACCCGGGCUCAACUUGGGUGCUGCAUUUCAAACUGGAAGUCUAGAGUGCAGGAGAGGAGAAUGGAAUUCCUAGUGUAGCGGUGAAAUGCGUAGAGAUUAGGAAGAACACCAGUGGCGAAGGCGGGUAACUGGACUGCAACUGACGCUGAGGCGCGAAGGUGUGGGGAGCAAACAGGAUUAGAUACCCGCGUAGU